UUCACCGGGAGGGUGCCAAUGGGACGGGAGAGCGGUACCGGUAAUGGGGCGAGGGGGAGAUGCCUCAGACCGCCAGAAACACUGGGGCAGCUGCUCGCGUGCUCCUUUUGGAUCUCACAGCACAGGGAGGCCUUUCAUCUGAUUACCUCCCCGUCUCGGUCUCUCUGGCUCUGUCUCUGGCUCUCUGUCUCUCUGUGUCUCUCUCUCUGCGUCUGUCUGUCUCUCUGAGGUGACAGCGGAUUCCAGCGUAUUGCUGCUUGCUGGGUAAACCUGUUUUUCCUCUGUUUUCCUCCUCUCUCUCUCUCCUGCUCAAACCCCUGACCUUCAGGCCGCCCCUGACCUUGUCACUAUCAGUGAAUAGGGAACAGCUUUUCUUCCUCCACCUUAUCUGAACCUAUCACAAUCUUCCCCACUUUCACCAGUUGUAUCUGUGUGUGACCCUCUCUUUCUGUGUCUCUUUCUCUCCUAAGCCCCCUCCCUCACCACAUCCCAUUUACCCACCCCUCCUGUCAUGCUCCCACUUUCAAACGGUCUCGUUGUGUUUUCACUGCCUCUUCCCCAUCGUUUCCGUCAAGCACCUCAUCUCACGCUUAGAACCCCUGCAGUGUAGGAGUAGGCCCUUCAGCCCAUCCAACCCACACCUCACCCAGACCUCUGCCUGUAACCCUGCAAUUCCCAUUGGCUAACCCACCUAGCCUACACAUCCCUGGGCACUAUGGGUAAUUUAGCCUGACCAAUCCACCCAAACCUGCACAUCCCUGGAUACUAUAGGACAAUUUAGCCUGGCCAAUCCUACACUAAGGGUGGAUUGGCCAUGCUAAUUUACCCAUAGUGUCCAGGGAUGUGUAGGUUAGGGUAGAUUGGCCAUGCUAAAUUACCCAAUCCUACAUAUCCCUGGGUACUGUUAGGAUAAAAUAGGUUAAGGGAGGGUGGAGCUAUAGCUGCUGUUUGGGGAAUCAAAACUGUAGCUGUAGCUGCUGCUUGGGAAAUUGAAACUGUUGCUUACGUGGCCAGCUCAGCUGCCAACGCCCAAAUGAGCUCAAUAACAGGGAACGUCGAGCAAACGCGAAAUGUCCUAAUAGGGCAAUGCUUAGUAGCUCCGCGAAGCUCUGCUUCGCAAAGAGUAUAUCAGGAGCAGAUUUGGGAGGGGAAGGCAGAACGUGCCUUCUCCAGUGAAUGCAUGGUGAUUCACUGUAUCAGCUACGAUUCUGCAAUAAAGCCUGCUUGUGCCAAACAA